rnacentral:rRNA from 1 species
UGGGGAAUAUUGGACAAUGGGCGCAAGCCUGAUCCAGCCAUGCCGCGUGUGUGAAGAAGGCCUUCGGGUUGUAAAGCACUUUUGUUGGGGAAGAAAGAUCUGGGUUAAUAACCCGGGUUCAUGACGGUACCCAAAGAAUAAGCACCGGCUAACUUCGUGCCAGCAGCCGCGGUAAUACGAAGGGUGCAAGCGUUACUCGGAAUUACUGGGCGUAAAGCGUGCGUAGGCGGUUUGUUAAGUCUGCCGUGAAAGCCCCGGGCUCAACCUGGGAAUUGCGGUGGAUACUGGCAGGCUAGAGUGCGGUAGAGGGUGGUGGAAUUCCCGGUGUAGCAGUGAAAUGCGUAGAGAUCGGGAGGAACAUCUAUGGCGAAGGCAGCCACCUGGACCAGCACUGACGCUGAGGCACGAAAGCGUGGGGAGCAAACAGGAUUAGAUACCCUGGUAGUCCACGCCCUAAACGAUGCGGACUGGACGUUGGGCUCAAUUGAGAGCUCAG